UUGCAUGGUUUCUAUUUCCUCUUAAAUUUAAAACACUUUUGGAGAUCGUUUUAAGGCCUCAUUCAUAAUGCUGUCAUAUUAUCAAGGUCAAUCCAAAGCAUUUCCUUAGUAAAACUCAUUAGAAAAAGAAAGUAAAUUGUCACUAGGAGCUCAUUCAGUUCUCAUUUUCCAGAAGUUAAGAUUAGUAAGUGAUCCUUGGAGGGGACAGUAUCCAGCCCCCUCUUCUCAAUUGCCUACCUUCUAGCUGGUGACACUGGGCCUGGUGUGAAAUGUCACAUAACAGCUAGGUCUGGUUAAAACAGAACAAGUAUGUUAAGAGUUUUGUCGUCCUUCCUCUCAGGCCCACAAAAACUCUGCUUUAUGGCUGAUUUAAUGGAAAUGCACUUGUGGGAGGUAGCCUGACACAAACUCAUGUGGUCCUGGAAUGAUCUGGAAUUCCUGGGCACUGAGGUCAUAGUAUCACAGAAUCAUUAAGUUGGAAAAGAUCAUCCAACCAUCUACCUUCCACCAAUACUGCCCACCAGACCAUGUCCCUUGGUACUGCAUCUACAUGGUUCUUGAACACCGCCAGGAACAGCGACUCCACCAUCUCCGUGGGCAGCUCAUUUCAGUGCCCAACCUCUCUUUCAGAGAAAUUUGUCGUGUCAGCUGAGAUCUGGAUGAAAACAUCCACAUCCAAAGCUUCUCUCCUGCAGGAGAAAAGAGAGCUGGGACAAGAACUGAUGCAGGCUGAGGAGAUGCUAAGCCACAAUGUGACAUUUGUAUUCACGUAA
rnacentral:lncRNA from 1 species